GGGGACGAUCCGGAUUCGACAGGGGUAGGUCGAGCUUAAGCGGCGAGCCGAGGGGGACGUCCUCGUAAAAACGUCACCUAAAGAUAACUGGCA
rnacentral:tmRNA from 1 species